CCUACAAAUAGUCAGAGCCCGUUAAUGGGUGAUGGCGUGCCUUUUGUAGAAUGAACCGGCGAGUUACGAUCCCGUGCGAGGUUAAGCUGAAGAGGCGGAGCCGCAGCGAAAGCGAGUCUGAAUAGGGCGUUUAGUACGUGGUCGUAGACCCGAAACCAGGUGAUCUACCCAUGUCCAGGGUGAAGUUCAGGUAACACUGAAUGGAGGCCCGAACCCACGCACGUU
rnacentral:rRNA from 1 species